AUUGAACGCUGGCGGCAGGCCUAACACAUGCAAGUCGAGCGGAGCGGCGGACGGGUGAGUAAUGCAUAGGUAUCUGCCUGGUAGUGGGGGAUGACGUUCGGAAAUGGGCGCUAAUACUGCAUCCUUGCAGUUGCGGCUAGACGGGAUUAGCUAUUUGUUGGGGUAAAGGCAUACCAAGGCGACGAUCCGUAACUGGUCUGAGAGGAUGAUCAGUCACACUGGAACUGAGACACGGUCCAGACUCCUACGGGAGGCAUCAGUGGGGAAUAUUGGACAAUGGGCGAAAGCCUGAUCCAGCCAUGCCGCGUGUGUGAAGAAGGUCUUCGGAUUGUAAAGCACUUUAAGUUGGGAGGCGUUACCAGCAGAAUAAGCACCGGCUAACUUCGUGCCAGCAGCCGCGGUAAUAC
rnacentral:rRNA from 1 species